GCUCCCGUGGUGUAGUCCGGUCUGAAGAAAGUCCAUCACAUGAUGGUUGUUCUUUCGGGAUAACCAAUCAUUUCGGAUUUUCGAUCCGAAGACCUGGGUUCAAAGAAGAUAAGGUCCAUCCUGACUUUAGAAAGUCCCGGCGGGAGCA
rnacentral:tRNA from 1 species